UAGGGAGUAUUAGUAAUGGGCGAAAGCCUGAACUAGCAACGCCGCGUGUGCGAAGAAGGCCUUCGGGUUGUAAAGCACUUUUUGAGAGGAUGAGGAAGGACGGUACUCUCAGAAUAAGUCUCGGCUAACUACGUGCCAGCAGCCGCGGUAACACGUAGGAGGCGAACGUUAUCCGGAUUUACUGGGCGUAAAGCGCGUGUAGGUGGUUUGGUAAGUAGGGCGUGAAAGCUCCUGGCUCAACUGGGAGAGGCCGUUCUAAACUGCCGAACUAGAGGAUGGUAGAGGGAGGUGGAAUUCCGGGUGUAGCGGUGGAAUGCGCAGAUAUCCGGAGGAACACCAGUGGCGAAAGAGGCCUCCUGGACCAUUCCUGACACUCAGACACGAAAGCUAGGGUAGCAAACGG
rnacentral:rRNA from 1 species